rnacentral:lncRNA from 1 species
CAUUUCUCCAAUCUCUUGAAGUUAGCUGUAGCCAGAUGACCUGCUUUGGCCAAUAUCUAAAAGCAAAUAUGACUUUGUCACUUCAGAUCAAAGCAUUUCAGAGAUGAUGCACAACUCUACCCCACUCUCCCCUGCCACACCAUCUAAGGAAGCCACAUCUUCCAGAUGAUACUUCUACAAGAUGAUGGAUUCAUUACGUUUCAGCAUAAAGAACAGUUGCCCCAAAGAGUUUUCCAGAUCUGCAGAGAACGUCAACCCAAGAAAAAAAAUUGUACUGAGCCUGUAAAAUUUAGGGAUUAUUUGUUGCCUCAGUAUAAUCUAACCUAUCGUCAAUGACAGCAUUGUCUAGAAGGUUAGAACACUGAAAUGCCAAAGGAGAAUAGCAUGACCCCUAUAAGAAUGGAGCCAUCACAAAUCACCCACAACACUGCAAAGGAAAUGUUCCAACAGCAAGCUCUGAUCCAGCAAGCCUUCCAUGUGAUUACAGAAUUACUGGGCAGACUACACCGAAUCAUCUUAUUUCAGAAGAGAUGAUUAAUCACAAACAGCAAGAGUUAAGCCAAUUACAAGUACUUCCCCCUAAGGUGAUUGCCUUACCAUAACUACAGAUAAAAUCCACCAGCUUCA